GGCUGGGUGGUGUAGUUGGUUAUCACGUUCGCCUCACAUCUCUGCUGAACGCGAAAGGUCGAGAGUUCGAACCUCUCCUUAGUCA
rnacentral:tRNA from 1 species